AAAGGGAAGCGAACAUGUGAGUGCAAGCGAAUCCCAAAAAUAACGUCUCAGUUCGGAUUGUAGUCCGCAACUCGACUACAUGAAGCUGGAAUCGCUAGUAAUCGCGAAUCAGAAUGUCGCGGUGAAUACGUUCCCGGGUCUUGUACACACCGCCCGUCACACCAUGGGAGUCAGUAACGCCCGAAGCCGGUGACCUAACCGAAAGGGAGGAGCCGUCGAAGGUGGGACCGAUAACUGGGGUGAAGUCGUAACAAGGUAAC
rnacentral:rRNA from 1 species